rnacentral:misc_RNA from 1 species
GUGAGAUUCUUGGUGAAUACGUAUAAUAUUUGCUUUCUUGUGUGUAUAGAGUGUAAAUGAGUUGCAUGCAAGUGCUUUGCACUUUGCAGUACCCUAUAGAAUUUGGUGGAAUUCAUGCCUUGAUGAAAUUUUCACUCUUUGCAGUAGCUUUCACUUGAUAUUUAUAUCUGAAUUGAUACUACUACAUGUAUUUUUUAAGAUAAUUAAGCAAUUUAAAGCUGACUUUUGGAUGUUUUGAUCUUAAAAAAAAAAUAUCCCAAAAGCAUCUCUGCAGUGGUUUUGUUGCAUUUAAGUGGUGACAUUAACUACAA